UUCACAGGAUUCCUCCAGGAAAACUAGGCUAUGUCGAGUCCUGUGCAUUCAGAGACUCCUUGUCUGAAGCUCCGCAGCUUAUUGGGUUGAACGCAUGCAGUCUGAACAUUACACCAACAUCUCGCUCUAAGCCUUUGCUUUGCACAGCUAUUCGGCGCCCUGGUUUUACCCACUGCAAUCACCAAGCCACGCUGUGUCCUUGAAUAACGUAUGGACUUUGAUUUUAAAAGUUGACUAGAACCGCAAGGGGAGCUGUAUGUGCGUGCGGAUAUUAUUGGUGCUGUAUUUGCAUGAAUCUAUACAGUUGAAACUGGGGAAACAGUUUAUAUAGAGCUUAAUCAUUUUGCACAUCAAUAGUAGCUUUGUAGAUGCCUGCAAUUCCAGGAAGCUGUGCAGUGCAACAUUUCAUGAUGCUAGAGCGCUGUAGGCUGGGAGGAGAUCGUGCCAAGCAAGCCCAUGUCAUUUCAUGGUGUGCUUUGUUCAGUUGGAAAGGACCCCAAGGGUCAUCUAGUUCAACCCCCUGCAAUGCAGGAAUAAAACAUGAACACAAAAGCGUCUGGACCGAAUGGAGGCAAUGGGGCUGUACGAUUUGCUUGAGAGGCACCUGCUCAAACAAACAAGGCUGAAUCUAAGCGAAACAUUGUCAGUGCGUGACACCGUGAACUUCCCUGCAG